ACUACGGGAGGCAGCAGUGGGGGAUAUUGCACAAUGGGGGGAACCCUGAUGCAGCGACGCCGCGUGGGUGAAGAAGCGCCUCGGCGCGUAAAGCCCUGUCAGCAGGGAAGAAAAUGACGGUACCUGAAGAAGAAGCCCCGGCUAACUACGUGCCAGCAGCCGCGGUAAUACGGCGGGGGCAAGCGUUAUCCGGAGUGACUGGGCGUAAAGGGGGCGCAGGCGGGCAUGCAAGCCAGGUGUGAAAGCCCGGGGCCCAACCCCGGGACUGCUCUUGAAACUGCGUGGCUGGAGUGCAGGAGGGGCAGGCGGAAUUCUUGGUGUAGCGGUGAAAUGCGUAGAUAUCAGGAGGAACACCGGUGGCGAAGGCGGCCUGCUGGACUGCAACUGACGUUGAGGCCCGAAAGCGUGGGGAGCAAACAGGAUUAGAUACCCUAGUAGUC
rnacentral:rRNA from 1 species